UGCAGUCGAGCGACACUUCGGUGUUAGCGGCGGACGGGUGAGUAACACGUGGGCAACCUGCCUGUAGACUGGGAAACUUCGGAAACCGAGCUAAUACCGGAUAAUCCUUUUCCUCUCAUGAGGGAAAGCUGAAAGACGGUUUCGCUGUCACUUACAGAUGGGCCCGCGGCGCAUUAGCUAGUUGGUGAGGUAACGGCUCACCAAGGCGACGAUGCGUAGCCGACCUGAGAGGGUGAUCGGCCACACUGGGACUGAGACACGGCCCAGACUCCUACGGGAGGCAGCAGUAGGGAAUCUUCCACAAUGGACGAAAGUCUGAUGGAGCAACGCCGCGUGAGCGAUGAAGGCCUUCGGGUCGUAAAGCUCUGUUGUUAGGGAAGAACAAGUACCGGAGUAACUGCCGGUACCUUGACGGUACCUAACCAGAAAGCCACGGCUAACUACGUGCCAGCAGCCGCGGUAAUACGUAGGUGGCAAGCGUUGUCCGGAAUUAUUGGGCGUAAAGCGCGCGCAGGCGGUCCUUUAAGUCUGAUGUGAAAGCCCACGGCUC
rnacentral:rRNA from 2 species